UACGUAGGGUGCAAGCGUUGUCCGGAAUUAUUGGGCGUAAAGAGCUCGUAGGCGGUCUGUCGCGUCGGAUGUGAAAAUCCAGGGCUCAACCCUGGACCUGCAUUCGAUACGGGCAGACUAGAGUUCGGCAGGGGAGACUGGAAUUCCUGGUGUAGCGGUGAAAUGCGCAGAUAUCAGGAGGAACACCGGUGGCGAAGGCGGGUCUCUGGGCCGAUACUGACGCUGAGGAGCGAAAGCAUGGGGAGCGAACAGG
rnacentral:rRNA from 1 species